rnacentral:rRNA from 1 species
GAUGAACGCUGGCGGCGUGCCUAAUACAUGCAAGUCGAGCGAACAGACGAGGAGCUUGCUCCUCUGACGUUAGCGGCGGACGGGUGAGUAACACGUGGAUAACCUACCUAUAAGACUGGGAUAACUUCGGGAAACCGGAGCUAAUACCGGAUAAUAUAUUGAACCGCAUGGUUCAAUAGUGAAAGACGGUUUUGCUGUCACUUAUAGAUGGAUCCGCGCCGCAUUAGCUAGUUGGUAAGGUAACGGCUUACCAAGGCGACGAUGCGUAGCCGACCUGAGAGGGUGAUCGGCCACACUGGAACUGAGACACGGUCCAGACUCCUACGGGAGGCAGCAGUAGGGAAUCUUCCGCAAUGGGCGAAAGCCUGACGGAGCAACGCCGCGUGAGUGAUGAAGGUCUUCGGAUCGUAAAACCCUGUUAUUAGGGAAGAACAAAUAUGUAAGUAACUAUGCACGUCUUGACGGUACCUAAUCAGAAAGCCACGGCUAACUACGUG